rnacentral:rRNA from 1 species
UACGUAGGGUGCAGGCGUUAAUCGGAAUUACUGGGCUUAAAGCGUGCGCAGGCGGUGAUGUAAGACAGUUGUGAAAUCCCCGGGCUCAACCUGGGAACUGCAUCUGUGACUGCAUCGCUGGAGUGCGGCAGAGGGGGAUGGAAUUCCGCGUGUAGCAGUGAAAUGCGUAGAGAUGCGGAGGAACACCGAUGGCGAAGGCAGCCCCCUGGGCUAGCACUGACGCUCAGGCACGAAAGCGUGGGGAGCAAACAGG